rnacentral:rRNA from 1 species
AUUGAACGCUAGCGGGAUGCCUUACACAUGCAAGUCGAACGGAGUGGCGAACGGGUGAGUAAUGUAUCGGAACGUGCCCAGUAGCGGGGGAUAACUACGCGAAAGCGUAGCUAAUACCGCAUACUAUUGGAGCGGCCGAUAUCGGAUUGGCUAGUUGGUGGGGUAACGGCUAACCAAGGCGAAGAGCCGUAGCUGGUUUGAGAGGACGACCAGCCACACUGGGAAUGUGACACGGCACAGGCUCCUGAGGGAGGCGGCAGUGGGGAAUUUGGGACAAUGGGGGAAGCCCUGAUCCAUGCAUCCCGCGUGUGCGAUGAAGGCCGUAGGGUUGUAAAGCACUUUUGGCAGGAAAGCGGUACCUGCAGAAUAAGCACCGGCUAACUACGUGCCAGCAGCCGCGGUAAUUC